CGGGCGCGAGCGCGGCAGUUUAGCGCGCCGCACGCGUCCACACUCGCGCUCGCUUUGCAGCCGGCGCUCUCCGGGUGUGGGCGGGUGGGGGGCGUCGCAAAAAAAGAUUACAGCCCGGGCCGAUUGUUUGUUUUACCAGGCCUAGGCGUGGCGUUUCUUUUCACGCAUCCAAUCUUUAAACUUUUGGUAAAGAAAACCCUAAUCCUUCCUGAAUGCCCUUUCCUCCCAGAAAAAGCCCACCAAGCAACUCACUACUUUCCACGCGCGCCCUGAAGUCUGGGCGGCGCCACAACACUCCCUCCUCCUCCAUCCUCCCCACACACACCUCCAGACUCUAGAACAAUGAAAAAAGUUUACUUUGAUAAGAAGGAAGGUAAAAAGGUGGACGGAGGCGGCACUUUUAUUGUUGCUUCUCUCGCCCCCACGGGAAAGUGGAACAUAUGGCUUGUCACGCUGUGCCGUUUUGGCGGGAGGUGGGGAGGCGGACAUGGGAGCCAGGAAAGCUAAGGGCCCGCAAUGGAGCAUGACUCCCUUGAAAAUGAUAAAAUAUAUAUUUACUGUUAUGUUUGGAUGCCACCCACCCAAAUAUAAAGUUAACGUGUCCCCUACCCGCCCCUUGCGCCUUUGCCCGGGUGCUGGCGUGAUGACCCAGGCGGAAGUCGCAGGGCCGCACUUCUUUCCGAUUUCCACGCGGGCCUCGCCGCCCCCUCGGCCCUCGCACGUUUCUUCGCAGCACUCUAGGCCGCCGAGUCUGUUAUGAAAUCCGGUGCUGCCGAGUGGCUAAGAUUGAGUUCCAUUGCGAUGUAAUUAGGUCACCCCAUUAUGAACACGUUUCUUUGGAAAGGACGGGGCGGGCCGAAGAGAGCGCUCGAGUCACACUCUCACCACCCCCAACACACACACACAUAUAUUUUUUUUUUAACUGCAUUUUUUAUUUAUUCGUCAACCUCUGGGCAAACCCAGCGAAACCUUCCAAAUCACAACUGUUUGAGAAACCGGUUGUUUUCAACUUUGCGAAACACAACUUUUGCUGCAGCCGGAACCUACGUGAUCCCAGCGGGAUCGGCUUUCAUUUGUCUCCUCUGCCUGAAAUUGAUGGCCCCCACUUUAACCCGGCUGCUGCCCCUCGCCUGUUCUACUGCUGCUCUCCAGCCGCCUGUUGCUUCUCUUCCCCUGCUCCCAUUUUUCAGCUUUUCUUUUCAGGCAAGCGCCAGAAAGGGAAAUAACUUCUAUCCACCUUAAUUUCAAUCAUUCAAGUGUAGGUUUCUUCCUUAGAGGGAUGUUUGCUCGUUCCUUUCCCAGCCCCAAGUGGGUGUUGGGGCGGGGGGCGGGGGGCGGGGGGGGGACGAUUUCGUGCAGUUUCUUGGUGAUGAGGUAAUGAGUUCCAGAUUUUGGGACAGAGCAGGGUGCACGCUGAAACCACAAGGUCCUUGAGGAAUUGCCACACUGUCUUCCACAAUGGUUGAACACUCCCACCAACAGUGCCUUUGGGAGGCCAAGGCAGGAGGAUUGCUUGACACCUGGAGUUGAAGAUCAGCCUGGACAACAAAGGAAGACCCUAUGUCUUUAAUUUAAAAAAAAUCUAUUGUAUGUGAGUCACUUCUCUUUUGCUACUUCAAGGUUCUCUUUUUGUCUUUGACUUUUGAGAGUUUGAUUAUAACAUAUCCUGGUGUGGGCGUCUUUGAUUUAUUUUACUUGGAGUUCAUUGAACUUCUUGGAUGUUCAUAUUCAUGUCUUUCAUCAAAUUUGGGAAGUUUUUAGCCAUAGUUUCAGAUAUUCUCAUUAUCCCUUUCUCUCUCUUCUUCUGGGACUCCCAAUAUGCAUAUAAUGGUGGUCCACAGGUCCUUUAGGCUCUGUUCACUUUCCUCUAUUUUUUUCCUUUCUGUUCUUCAGACUUGACUAUUUCCAUUGUCCUAUCUUCAAAUUUGCUGAUUCUUUUUCUUGCCUGCUCAAAACUAUCUUUGAAUCCUAAAGUGAAUUUUUCAUUUUAGUUACUGUACUUUUCAGCUCUAGAAUUUCUUUUUACUUUCACUUUAGGCUUACUAUCUCUUUAUUGUUAUUCCCAUUUUGUUCAUACAUCUUUUUCUUGACUAUCUCUAUAUCUUUAUUUAGUUCUUUCAGCAUCUUUAAGACAGUUGUUUUAUUUUUUACAUUUUAUUGCACUUUAGGUUGUGGGGUACAUGUGCAGAACAUGCAGGAUUGUUGCAUAGGUAUAUACAUGGCAAUGUGAUUUGCUACCUCCAUCCCCAUCACCUAUAUCAGGCAUUUCUCCCCAUGUUAACCCUCUCUAACUCCCUAGUCCCCCACUGUCCCUCCGCCAGUCCCCCCCAACAGUCCCCAGUGUGUGAUGCUCCCCUCCCUGUGUCCAUAUGUUCUCAUUGUUCAAUACCCACCUGUGUGUGAGAACAUGCGAUGUUUGAUUUUCUGUUCUUGUGUCAGUUUGCUGAGAAUGAUGGUUUCCAGAUUCAUCCAUGUUCCUACAAAGGACACAAACUCAUCGUUUUUUUAUGGCUGCAUAGUAUUCCAUGGUGUGUAUGUACCACAUUUUCCUUAUCUAGUCUAUCAUUGAUGGGCAUUUGGGUUGGUUCCAGGUCUUUGCUAUUGUAAACAGUGCCACAGUACACAUUUGUGUGCACGUGUCUUUAUAAUAGAAUGAUUUAUAAUCCUUUGGAUACAUACCUAGUAAUGGGAUUGCUGGGUCAAAUGGAAUUUCUAUUUCUAGGUCCUCGAGGAAUUGCCACACUGUCUUCCACAAUGGUUGAACUAAUUUACACUCCCACCAACAGUGUAAAAGUGUUCCUAUUUCUCCACAUCCUCUCCAGCAUCUGUUGUCUCCAGAUUUUUUAAUGAUCGCCAUUCUAACUGGCGUGAGAUGGUAUCUCAAUGUGCUUUUGAUUUGCAUUUCUCUAGUGACCAGUGAUGAUGAGCAUUUUUUCAUAUGUUUGUUGGCCUCAUAUAUGUCUGCUUUUGAAAAGUGUCUGUUCAUGUCCUUCACUCACUUUCAAAUGGGUUUGUUUGUUUUUUUCUUGUAAAUCUGUUUUAGCUCUUUGUAGAUUCUGGAUAUUAACCCUUUGUCAGAUGGGUAGAUUGCAAAAAUUUUUUCCCAUUCUGUCAGUUGCCAGUUCACUCUAAUGAUUGUUUCUUUUGCUGUGCAGAAGCUCUGGAGUUUAAUUAGAUCCCAUUUGUCUAUUUUGGCUUUUGUUGCCAGUGCUUUUGGUGUUUUAGUCAUGAAGUCCUUGCCUGUGCCUAUGUCCUGAAUGGUUUUGUCUAGGUUUUCUUCUAGGGUUUUUAUGGUGUUAGGUCUUAUGUUUAAGUCUUUAAUCCAUCUGGAGUUAAUUUUAGUGUAAGGUGUCAGAAAGGGGUCCAGUUUCUGCUUUCUGCACAUGGCUAGCCAGUUUUCCCAAUACCAUUUAUUUAACAGGGAAUCCUUUCCCCAUUGCUUGUUUUUGUCAGGUUCAUCAAAAAUCAGAUGGUUGUAGAUGUGUGGCGUUGCCUCCGAGGCCUCUGUUCUCUUCCAUUGGUCUGUAUGUCUGUUUUGGUACCAGUACUAUGCUGUUUUGAUUACUGUAGCCUUGCUGUAUAGUUUCAAGUCAAGUAGUGUGUUGCCUCCAGCUUUGUUCUUUUUGCUUAGAAUUGACUUCACUAUGUGGGCUCUCUUUUGGUUCCAUGUGAGGUUUAAGGUGGUUUUUUCCAGUUCUGUGAAGAGGGUCAUAGGUAGCUUGAUGGGGAUAGUGUUUAAUCUAUAAAUUACUUUGGGCAGUAUGGCCAUUUUUGCGAUACUGAUUCUUCCUAACCAUGAGCAUGGAAUGUUUUUCCAUCUGUUUGUGUUCUCUGUUAUUUCCUUGAGCAGUGGUUUGUAGUUCUCCUUGAAGAGGUCCUUUACAUCCUUUGUUAGUUGUAUUCCUAGGUAUUUUAUUCUCUUUGUAGCAAUUGUGAAUGGCAGUUCGUUCUUGAUUUGGCUCUAAGUCUGUUAUUGGUGUAUAGGAAUGCCUGUGAUUUCUGCACAUUGAUUUUUUUAUCCUGAGACUUUGCUGAAGUUGCUUAUCAGUUUAAGGAGAUUUUGGGCUGAGAUGAUGGGAUCUUCUAAAUAUACAAUCAUGCCAUCUGCAAAUAGAGACAGUUUGACUUCCUCCUUUCCUAACUGAAUACCCUUUAUUUCUUUUUCUUGUCUGAUUGCUGUGCCUAGAACUUCCAAUACUAUAUUAAAUAGGAGUGGUGAGAGAGGGCAUCCUUUCUAGUGCCAGAUUUCAAAGGGAGUGCUUCCAGUUUUUGUCCAUUCAGUAUGAUACUGGCUGUGGGUUUGUCAUAAACAGCUUUUAUUAUUUUGAGAUACAUUCUGUCGAUACCUAGUUUAUUGAGAGUUUUCAGCAUAAAGUGCUGUUGAAUUUUGUUGAAGGCCUUCUCUGCUUCUAUUGGGAUAAUCAUGUGGUUUUUGUCUUUGGUUCUGUUUAUGUGGUGACUUACAUUUGUAGAAUGAGCUUUCCAUCCCUGGGAUGAAGCCUACUUGAUCGUGAUGGAUAAGCUUUUUCGUAUGCUGUUGGAAUCGGUUUGCCAGUAUUUUAUUGAAGAUUUUUGCAUCUAUGUUCAUCAUGGAUAUUGGCCUGAAGUUUUCUUUUCUUGUUGAGUCUCUGCUGGGUUUUGGUAUCAGGAUGAUGUUGGUCUCAUAAAAUGAUUCGGGAAGGAUUUCUUCUUUUUGGAUUGUUGAAAUAGUUUCAGAAGGAGUGGUACCAGCUCUCCUUGUAUGUCUGGUAGAAUUCUGCUGUGAACCCAUCUGGACCUGGGCUUUUUUUUUUUGGUUGGUAGGCUAUUAAUUGCUGCCUCAACUUCAGCCCUUGUUAUUGGUGUAUUUAGGGUUUCGACUUCUUCCUGGUUUAGGCUUGGGAGGGUGCGAGUAUCCAGGAAUAUAUCCAUUUCUUCCAGGUUUUAUUGGUUUAUGUGCAUAGAGUUGUUUGGUAAUCUCUGAUGGUAGUUUGUAUUUCUUUUUUUUUUUUUUUUCUGAUACAGUGUUUUUGCUCUUGUUACCCAGGCUGGAGUGCAAUGGCAUGAUCUCGGCUCACCGCAACCUCUGCCUCCUGGGUUCAAGCAAUUCUCCCGCCUCAGCCUCCCGAGUAGCUGGGAUUACAGGCACGUGCCACCAUGCCCAGCUAAUUUUUUGUAUUUUUAGCAGAGACGGUGUUUCACCAUGUUGACCAGGAUGGUCUCGAUCUCUUGACCUUGUGAUCCACCUGCCUCGGCCUCCCAAAGUGCUGGGAUUACAGGCUUGAGCCACCAUGCCUGGCCUGGUAGUUUGUAUUUCUGUGGAAUCUGUGGUGAUAGCCCUUUUAUCAUUUUUUAUCACAUCUAUUUGAUUCUUUUAUCUUUUCUUUUUUAUUAAUCUGGCUAGUGGUCUAUUUCAUUGAUCUUCUCAAAACACUAGCUCCUGGAUUUAUUAAUUUUUUGAAAGGUUUUUUAUGUCUCUAUCUCCUUUAGUUCUGCUCUGAUCUUAGUUAUUUCUUGUCUUCUGCUAACUUUUGAGUUUUUUUGCUCCACUAGCUCUUUUAAUUUUGAUGAUAGGGUGUCAAUCUUAGAUCUUUCCUUGCUUCUCAUGUGAGCAUUUAUUGCUUCAAGUUUUCCUCUAGACACUGCUUUAAAUGUGUCCCAGAGAUUCUGGUACAUUGUAUCUUUGUUCUCAUUGGUUUCAAAGAAUAUCUUUAUUUCUGCCUUCAUUUCAUUGAUUAUCCAGUCAACACUUAAGAGCCAGUUGUUCAGUUUCCAUGAAGUUGUAUGGUUCUGAGUUAGUUUUUUAAUCCUGAAUUCUAAUUUGAUUGCACUAUGGUCUGAGAGACUGUUUGAUAUGAUUUCCGUUCUUUUGCAUUUGCUGAGGAGUGAUUUACUUCCAGUUAUGUGGUCAAUUUUAGGCUACGUGUGAUGUGGUGCUGAGAAGAAUUUAUAUUCUGUGGAUUUGGGGUGGAGAGUUCUGUAAAGGUCUAUUAGGUUUGCUUGGUCCAGAUUUGAGUUCAAGUCCUGGAUAUCCUUGUUAAUUUUCUGUCUUGUUGAUCUGUUUAAUAUUGACAGUGGAGUGUUAAAGUCUCCCACUAUUAUUGUGUGGGAGUCUAAGUCUCUUUGUAGGUUAUGAAAAACUUGCUUUAUGUAUCUGGGUGCUCCUGUAUUGGGUGCGUGUCUAUUUAGGAUCAUUAGUUCUUCUUGUUGCAUUGAUCCUUUUACCAUUAUAUAAUGCCCUUCUUUGUCUCUUUUGAUCUUUGUUCGUUUAAAGUCUAGUUUAUCAGAGAUUAGGAUUGCAACUCCUGCUUUUUUUUGCUGUCCAUUUGCUUGGUAAAUCUUCCUCCAUCCCUUUAUUUUGAACCUAUGUGUAUCCUUGCACGUGAGAUGGGUUUCCUGGAUCCCCAUCUGAUGGUUUUGACUUUUUAUCCAGUUUGCCAGUCUGUGUCUUUUGGUUGCAGCAUUUAGCCCAUUUACAUUUACGGUUAAUAUUAUUAUGUGUGAAUUUGAUCCUGCCAUUUUGAUGCUAGCUGACUGUUUUGCUGAUUAGUUGAUGCAGUUUCCUCAUUGUAUUGAUGUUCUUUACCAUUUGGUACAUUUUUCAAGUGGCUGGUACUGGUUGUUCCUUUCUAUGUUUAGUUCUUCUUUCAGGAGCUCUUGUAAAGUAGGCCUGGUGGUGACGAAAUCUCUGAGCAAUUGCUUGUAUGUAAAGGAUUUUAUUUCUCCUUCACUUAUGAAACUUAGUUUGCCUGGAUAUGAAAUUCUAGAUUGAAAGUUCUUUUCUGAUCCAAGAUGGCCAAUCAAUAACAGCUCGGGAUGGCAGCUCUCAGUCAAAGCGCAGAGAACUAGAGGACACCACACUUUCAGACAAAUUCUGGUCACUCACGGAGCAGAAGAUCCCCAGUGGAGGAACCACACGGGUCACCAGCACAACUCUUGUGGCCGGUGCAGUGGUUUUGCUGGCACCUUGGCACGGCAGCUCUCGGAGCAGAGUAAACAGGGUUGGCUCCCCUUCUGAUCGAGGCUUGGAGGACCCACACGGGCCACCAGCGCGACUCUUGUGUCUGGCGCAGCAGCUUCGCCAGCACCUCAGUGCGGCAGCUCUCAGAGCAGAGUAAAUAGGGCCGGCUCCCCUUCUGACCGAGGUUUGGUGGACCCACACGGGUCCCCAGCAUGACUCCUGAGACUGGCGCAGCAGCUGUGAUGGCACCUCAGCGCAGCAGCUCUCAGCGCAGAGUAAACGAGACUGGUUCCCCUUCUGACCGAGGUUUGGAGCCCGGGGAAGACAGAGUCGCCCAUUACGGACACAAGAAGGAAGCCAGACAGGAGAAUCCUGGGCAGAAAAGCACCAUCAGUUUUAACGCCGCUGUUCUGGCCCUGGGAACUAACAACCUGGACGUCCAAUCAAGAGACCUAAUCUGAAAGUUGGUAAUUUAAAAGACGACAAGAGGAUAAAUUUACAAUGACGGGAAGAAACCAGCGUAAAAAGGCUGAGAAUACUCAAAAUCAGAAGGCCUCUCCCUCUAAAGAUGAUCACAGUUCCACAUCAACAAUGGAACAAGGCUUGACAGAGAAUGAGCGCAUCCCAAUGACAGAAUCACUCUUCAAGGAAUGGAUAAUAAGAAACUUCUGUGAGUUAAAAGAACAUGUUGUAGACCAACGUAAAGAAACUAGGAACUUUGAAAAAAGGUUUGAUGAAAUCCUAUUGAGAAUAGACAACUUAGAGAGGAAUAUAAGUGAAUUAAUGGAACUGAAGAAUACAAUACAGGAACUCCAAGAAGUAUGCACAGGUUUAAACACUCAAAUUGUUCAAGCAGAAGAAAGGAAAACAGAGGUCAAAGUCCAACUUAAUGAAAGAAAACAGAAAGACAAGAUUAGAGAUAAAAGGAUAAAAAGAAUGAGCAAAGUCUCCAAGAAAUGUGGGACUAUGUGAAAAGACCAAAUUUACGUUUGAUAGGUGUACCUGAAUGCGACGGAGAGAAUGAAUCCAAGCUGGAAAAUACCCUUCAGGAUAUUAUUCAGGAAAAUUUUCCUAAACUAGCAAAGCAGGUCAAUAUUCAACCCCAGGUAAUACAGAGAACACCACAAAGAUAUUCCUCAAGAAGAGCAACCCCAAGGCACAUAAUCGUUAGAUUCACCAGGGUUGAAACGAAGGAGAAAAUACUAAGGGCAGCCAGAGAGAAAGGUCAGGUUACCCACAAAGGCAAGCCUAUCAGAUUUACAGCAGAUCUCUCAGCAGAAACCCUACAAGCCAGAAGAGAGUGGGGGCCAAUAUUCAACAUCCUCAAAGAACAGAACCUUCAGCCCAGAAUUUCAUAUCCAGCCAAACUAAGCUUCACAACUGAAGGAAAAAUAAAAUCUUUUAUGAACAAGCAAGUACUCAGAGAUUUUUAUUACCACCAGGCCUGCUUUACAAGAGCUUCUGAAGGAGGCAUUACACACAGAAAGAAACAACCAGUAUUAGCCUUACUAAAAAUAUACCAAAAAGUAAAGAGCACCAACAUAAAGAAGAAUUUUCAUCAACGAAUGGAUCAAACAGCCAGUUAACAUCAAAUGACAGUAACUCUAAAUUUAAAUCGACUAAAUCCCCCAAUCAAAAGACAUAGCCAAAACCCAACGGCAUGUUACAUCCAGACCUGUUUCACAUGCAAGGAUACACAAAGACUCAAAACAAAGGAAUGGAGAAAGAUUUACCAACCAAAUGGAGAGCAAAAAUAAAUAAAUAAAUAAAUAAAUAAAAAGCAGGAGUUGCAAUUCUCAUAGCAGAUAAAAUAGAUUUUAAAGCAACAAAUAUAUAGUGGUAAAAGGAUCAAUGCAACAAGAGCUAACGAUCCUAACACCCAGAUACAUAGAGACUUAGAUUCAACAAGACAGAAAAUUAAUAAGGAUAUCAAGGACUCGAACUCAGAUCCAGAACAAGUAAACUUAAUAAAUAAUAUUUAUGGAGCUCUCCACUUCAAAUACAUAAAAUAUACAUUCUUGUCAAUACCACAUCACACCUAGUCAUACGUUUAAAUGAAACAUUGAUUGGCCAUUAUUAAUACCCAUUUUUUUUUUUCAGAAUAAAGCAAUAUUUCCGUUCACCCUCCCUCUCUCUCUUCCUCUUUCUUUCUCUCCUUUACUCAUUUUUUUUUCUUUCCUUCUCUCAAAAAAAAGAAAUCAACUUGUAAACCUCUAGAUCCAGGUCGGCAAUGUCUCUCUCAUUGCUUGAAUUCCUUCCUUCCCUUCCCUCCCUCCCUCCCUCUCUCCCUUCCCUCCUUCCUCCCUUCCUUCCUUCAUCCCUUCCUUCCUCCCUCCCUUCCUCCUUCCCUCCCUUCCUGCCUUCCUCCCCCCCAAAAAAAGUUCUUUUCUUUAAGGAUGUUGAAUAUUGGCCCCCACUCUCUUCUGGCUUGUAGGGUUUUUGUCGAGAGUUCCACUGUGAGUCUGAUGGGCUUCCCUUUGUGGGUAACCCGACCUUUCUCUCUGGCUGCCCUUAGCAUUUUUUCCUACAUUUCAACCCUGGUGAAUCUGACCAUUAUUUGCCUUGGGGUUACUCUUCUUGAGGAGUAUCUUUGUGGUGUUUUCUGUAUUUCCUGGACUUGAAUAUCAGCCUGCCUUGCUAGGUUGAGGAAGUUCUCCUGGAUAAUAUCCUGAAGAGUGUUUUCCAGCUUGGAUUCAUUCUCUCUGUCACAUUCAGGUACACCUAUCAAAUGCAGAUUAGGUCUUUUCACAUAAUCCCAUAUUUUUUGGAGGCUUUGUUCAUUUUUUUUUUUUUUUUUACUCUUUUUUUCUCUAAUCUUGCCUUCUUGUUUUAUUUCAUUGAGUUGAUCUUCAAUUUCUGAUAUCCUUUCUUCCACUUGGUCAGUUCGGCUAUUGAAACUUGUGUAUGCUUUGUGAAGUUCUCGUGUUGUGUUUUUCAGCUCCAUCAAUUCAUUUACAUUCUUCUCUAAGCUGUUUAUUCUCGUUAGCAUUUCAUCAAACCUUUUUCAAGGUUCUUAGUUUCUUUGCAUUGGAUUAGAACAUGGUCUUUUGGCUCAGAAAAGUUUGUUAUUACCCACCUUCUGAAGCCUAUUUCUGUCAAUUUAUCAGACUCUUCUCCAUCCAGCCUUGUUCCCUUGCUGGUGAGGAGUUGUAAUCCCUUGGAGAAGAAGUGUUCUGGUUUUGGGUGUUUUCAUCCUUUUUGUGCUGGUUUCUUCCCAUCUUUAUGGAUUUAUCUACCUGUGGUCUUUAUAGUUGGUGACUUUUGGAUGGGGUCUCUGAGUGGAUGUCCUUUUUGUUGAUAAUGAAGUUAUUUCUUUCUGUUUUUUAGUUUUCCUUCUAACAGUCAGGCCCCUCUGCUAUAGGACUGCUGGAGGUCUACUCCAGACCUUACUUGCCUGGGGAUCACCUGUGGCAGCUGCAGAACAGUAAGGGUUGCUGCCACUUUCUUCUUCUGUUAUCUUUGUCCCAGAAGUGUACCCACCAGAUGUCAGCCUGAGCUCUCCUUUAUGAGGUGUCUCUUUGGAUAUAUGGAGGUCAGGGAGCUACUUGAGGAGACAGUCUGUCCCUUAUAAGAGCUCAAGUGUUGAGCUGUGAGCUCCAUUGUUUCGUUCAGAGCUGCUGGGCAGUUAUGUAAAGUCUGCUGCAAUGGAACUCAUAACCACCUUUUUUUCCCAGGUGCUCUGUCCUGGGAAGGUGGGGCUUUAUUUAUAAGUUCCUGAUAUGCUACUGCCUUUUUUCAGAGAUACCCUGCCCAGCAAGGAGGUAGCCUAGCCACAGUCUGACAGCAGAGGCAUUGCUAAGCUGCUGUGGGCUCUGCUCUGCUGCUGUUUGAACUUCCUUGCAGUUUUGUUUAUAGAGGUGUAGUUAGAACUGCCUCAGUAAUGACGGUCUGCCUCAGUAAUGGUGGACUGUCUCUGUAAUGGCGGACUGCCUCAAUAAUGGCGGACUGCCUCGGUAGUGGUGGACUGCUGCAGUAAUGGCAGAUGCCCUUCCCCCCACAGAGCUGGACGAUCCCAGGUCCAGCUGUGCUUGCUGUGAAACUCUCAAUCCAGAGCGUUUCAGAUUGCUGGUCUUUGUGGGGGUGGGACCUGCCAGGCCAGAUCACCUAGCUCCCUGUUUCAGCCCCUUUUUUCAGUUGAAUGGGUGACUCUGUCUCCCAGGCAUUCCAGGCACCAGGUUAAAUGGCUACCCAUAUUUGUGUGAGUUUUUGUGUGCAGACCUGCUGUGCCAGCUGCAGCAGCCAUGCUGGAGACUCGUCACACUUUUCUGCCCAGGAAUCUCCGGGUCUGUGGGCAGCAAAAACUCUUUUGGAAAUGUGGUGAUCACCCACCCUCUAUGUUCUCACUGGGAACUGCACUCCAGAGCUGUUCCUAUUCAGCCAUCUUGGAUCAUCUCCAAGACAGUUGUGUUAAAGACUUUGUCUAGCAGAUCUGCCAUCAGUUCUUUUUCAGGAACAGUUUCUGUUGAUUUAUUUUUUGGAUGGGUCAUGCUUUCCUGUUUCUUUGUAUGCUUUGUGAUUUUUUGUUGUUGUUGAAAACUGGAUAUUUCAGUCUAAUGAUGUGGUAAUUAUGGAAAUCAGAUUCUCCCCCUUCACCAGGGUUUGCUAGGUUUGGUAAUUUUUAAAAAAUUAUUGCUGUAGGCUGUCUCUGUGCGAACAAUCAGCCUGAGGUAUAAAAUGCAAGGUCUUCUGAGGUAUAUUCUGCACCUAUGCCUUUGACUAAGCAUGCAUUUCAAGUUUUCCCUGUGUAUGCACUUGUUUUUGGAUGUCCUAAUCUUUAAUGUCUGGUUAUGAAAAGGGGAAAAAGAGAGAAAUGAAGAGUUGAUUUUUUUUUAAAGGGGACCUUCAUCCCUUUAAAUUCCCUACAAGUUAGUUCAGCAGAUGGGGAGGCACAUGCAACAAUGGGAGAAGGUUCAACAGCAAUGGCCACCUGCAUCAUUGUCUACUCCUCUGUUGUCAGAAGCAGUAAUCAGAGCAGAAAUCCCUGAUAUUUGGAGGACAGGAUCCUUUUGGCCCACCCUGGCUCCUGUAAGCUAUGUAUAAGCUACUCCAGGAACACAUGCACACCUGUCAACCACAGGGUGGGAGGUAGGGGAUAGAUAGAUGCUACUGUUCUAAGAGCUGAUAUUAACCAAAAUUAAACACAAAUUACCAUUCAAGCCUUUCCCUGGAAUUUGCAAGCCUUCAAAAGAUUCCAGAGUUCCAAAAUAGUUAAAUCAGAUUGUGCCAGUGCAGAAUCUUCUAAGAGGGGAAACACUCCUGGUGCUUCCUACUCUGCCAUUUUCCUAGAAUCCUCCCCUAAAAGUAGUUACUUCAGCUCUAUAAUCCAUUUAGAGUUAGUUUUUAUAUAUGAUGUAAAAUUUAGGGUGAGGUUUUUUUUGUUUUGUUUUGUUUUGUUUGCUGUAGAUUUUCACUCCCAAUACUAUUUGUUGAAAAAAAUUAUCAUUUACCAUUGAAUUGCCUUUACACCUUUCCAAAAAUUUAAUGGCCAUAUUUGUAAGGCCUCUUUCUUUCACUGAUUUGUGUCCAUCUCUUCACCAAUACUACACCAUCAAUUAUUAGAGCUUUAUACUAAGUCUUAAGAUGGCAUAAUUCCUCCAAAUUUUCAAUUUUUUGAAAUUGUUUUAGCUAUUCUAGUUCCUUUGCCUUUGCAUAUAAACUUCAGAAUCAGCUUGUUUAUAUAUGGGGGAAAAAAAGCCCUACUGAGAUUUUUACUGUAAAUGCAUUAGAUAUAUAGAUCACUACAGGGAGAAUUACUAUGUUGAGUCUUCUAAUUCAUGCACACAGUAUGUCUAUUUAGGACUUUUUUGAUUUCUUUAAUCUGUGUUUUAUAGUUUUAAUCUUUUUUUGAAAUGGGGUUUUGCUAUAUUGUUCAGGCUAGCCUCAAACUCCUGGGCUCAAAUGAUGCUUCAGCCUCAGCCUCCCAAGUGGCUGGGACCUCAGACAUAUGCCACCAUGCCCAGCUGUUUUAUAGUUUUUUUAGCACACUGAUUCUAUAUAUGUUUCAUUAGAUUUAUACCUAAUAUUUCCUAAUUUUUGAACUAUUGUAAUUUUUUAAAAUCUUGGUUUCCACUUGUUCAUUAGUUUAUAGAAAUUUAGUUGAUUUUUGUGUUUGACCUUGUCUCCUGUGAUCUCACAAAAUCACUUUAGUUGUAAGAGGGUUUUUUUUUUUUUUUGGAGACAGAGUUUCACUGUUGUUACCCAGACUGGAGUGCGAUGGCGCGAUCUCGGCUCACCGCAACCUCCACCUCCUGGGUUUAAGCAAUUCUCCCGCCUCAGCCUCCCGAGUAGCUGGGACUAUAGGCGCGCACCACCAUGCCCAGCUUUUUGUAUUUUUAGUAGAGAGGGGUUUCACCUUGUUGACCAGGAUGGUCUCAAUCUCUUGACCUCGUGAUCCACCCACUUCGGCCUCCCAAAGUGCUGGGAUUAUAGGCGUGAGCCACCGCACCCGGCCAAGAGGAUUUUUUUUUGAUAGAUUACUUGGGGUGUUUUUGUUUACUUAUUUUCAUUUUAUUUUUAUUUUGAGAUAGAGUCUCACUUUGUUGCCCAGGCUGGAGUGCAGUGGCACAAUCGUAGUUCACUGAAGCCUCAAACUCCUGAGCUCAAGCAAUCCCCCCACCUCAGCCUCCCAAGUAGCUGGAAUUAUAAGUACAUGCCACCAUCCCAGCUAGUUUUUAAAAUUUUUUGUAGAGAUAGGAUCUCACUAUGUUUUUCAGGCUGGUCUCCAACUUCUGUCCUCAAGCAAUCCUCCUGCCUGAGCAUCCCAAAGUGAUGAGAUUACAGACAUGAGCCCCUGUACCAGGCCUGUUUUUGUUUUUAAACAUGUUGUCUAUAAAUAGGAAUAACUUAAUUUCUUUCUAACGUAUGCAUUAUAUUUCAUUUUCUUGCCUGAUUUCCCUAUCCAGGAUUUGCAAUAUGAUGUUGACUAGGUAUGGUAAGAGUAGAUGCCCUGACCUAGUUCCUGAUUUUAGGGGGAAAGCAUUCAGUUUUUCAUUUUAACGUACAACAUUAGUUACCAGUUUUUGGUAGCCAUUUAACUUUUUAACAUUCCCUUCCCACUAGUAUGUAUGCUCUAUCAAAGCAGGCUCUCUGCUCUCAACUCAACCUCUAGUGCUUAGUGGCUAGCAGACAGUAGGUUCUCAGUAAGUAUUCGUGGGCGGGGGGGGGGGGGAAUGACGAUUUAGUGCUUCCCUACUUUGCUAACUUAGCCAGCCACAAUCACUGUCCUGUAUGACAGACAACAGGGGGACUUGGCUGAAUAUGCACAGACGUUAGAAGAGUAAUCUUACAUUAAACACCCCAACAGAUCCGACUAGGCAUAUGCCCCAUAGAACUGGCAAUCUUAAGCUGCAGAGCAUUUGUAGAUCAGCUUUUCGGCAAGGCAUACUGUGUCAAAGCAUUUAUCUAUGAGGAAUAGGUGACUGCAGUAUAAUAGUUAUUUUAGAUUGACAGCAUUCCAUUCCCAAAAGGAAUUUAAACAAAAAGCUCUCAGAUAUGAAAAACAGGGGUUUUCAGGGUAGAGAAUCCCACUGCUCUGAAAUCUUAGGCCCUCAGACGGGUGGGGUUGUUUCGCUAAAUUUAUUUCAGCCGCUUAUAGAAACAGAAGGGGGAAGAAGGGGAUGGCUGUACACCAGCCCUGACUCUGUAGUAUUAAUAUCUGCCAGGUCAGGCUUUUAUUUUAUUUUGGAGGGCUGGAGAGACAGGCAGACAGCAAGAAUAUCUCACAAAUGCAUGGCUUUUGCAUUGCACUUUCCUGCCCUUCUCCAUCCACAUCACCCACUGAGAGCCCACUUUGUUGAGAUAGAGUCUCACUUUGUUGCCCAGGCUGGAGUGCAGUGGCACAAUCAUAGUUCACUGAAGCCUCAAACUCCUGAGCUCAAGCAAUCCCCCCACCUCAGCACUACAUCACCCACUGAGAGAGAGAGAGAGAGAGAGAGAGAGAGAGAGAGAGAGAGAGAGAGAGAGAGAGAUGGGAUCUGUUUGUUUACUUUCCAGCAGUGUGCGUGCAGGGAAACUGGGGUCUUUGUCCCUGGCCCCCAUCAGAACCCCUACACAAUCCCACACAUACCUCCAAUGGCUCUAUUACUUGAAUGUUAGGGGUUGUUGGAUAUAAAAUCCAGGCCCUUUAAACCCUGUUUACCUCCUCCCCAGCUUCCCCAAAGCACUGAACACACAUUCUCCUUAGUCUCUGAUACCCAAACAAUCUCUUCUGCCAUGCCAACCCCCAUAACUAGAAAAAGGAUUUGAAAUGAUGUUGCUUUUUCAAACUUGUUUUUUGCUAAAUUUGAAAUGCUUUACAAAGCACAGGUUAAUGAUCUCCCACAGGCUGAAGGGAAACUGAGGCACAGGAGCAAGAGGUGGCAGCAGGUGACCUGCACCUGCUGUGAGUGACUGAGAUUGAUGUCCAGUCCUUGACUGGCUCUCAGAGGUUCCCUGCUGAACUCAGGACUAGAGAAAGCCUGGGCUCAGUAUCUGGGGGGUUGCUGCCACAUGGCUGCUGCUGUUUGCUGGCAGAAAGAGGAGACAAGCAUGAGGAAACUAAGAAAUCUGCUGUGACUUGAGUAACUACAUGAGAACAUGGGGAAGUACUGUGCAUGGUGCCCAGCCCAUGGGAACCCAAGUGCCAGUUUGCUUCCUUGCCUGGGUCACCAAGGAAGGUGGGAGAAGGAGCGUCUGUCCUCUCCUCUCUCUACCCCUGGGGUGGAAAGAUGGGCAGAGACCGGUGGGAGGGAGGGUGAACUGGGGCAGAUGCUAGGGAGAGGCCCAAUAUGCAGAUUCUCCAAGGGGGUCUUGGUCUAAACUGUGGGGUCAUCUUCAGGGCAGAUCAAGGGACUCACACUUACUAGUAAGCUGUAAAGUGUUCACAGGUAAACCAAGGUGGUAUUUUGUCCUAGCAUCAGCGAGUUUGCUUUGGUAUUAUCCUCCACUACUCCCUAGCAAGACCCCAGGAUGGCCGUCUCCACCCUGGGGAGCUGUUCUUUUGAGAAACAGAAACCUCCCCAGCCAGAGCACGGAUCAGGCAGCUCUUGGAGGGUCGCCAUGUGGACAGCCGGCAGGGGAGAGAGAGAGGACGGACCUUUGCCACAGCCCUCUGACUUCUUUAGUGCUAAGUGUCUCCUGCCAACUGCACCCUCCACCCUGGGGUACUGUGGGCCCCCCAAACCAGGGCCUGCUCUUGUCUGACCAAAGGCAACCAGAUCUGCUGCAGCUGCUGGGUGAGGAAACAAGCUCUCCCAGAGACCAGAGAAGCAGCUGGAGAAAGAUUCCUGCCAGCCCGGGGGUGUAAAUAUUUAUACAACGUGGUGCUGGUGCGUGGGAAGAGAACGCAGAGGGAGGUGGCAGGAAUGAGGAGGCACUGACAUGGACAGAUUUAAGAGGGCUGCAUUUGGGGCCCAGCUAGGAGUGAGGCGGCCCGAGAGGCAAGGAGCAGGAGGUCGCUGGGAUCCUAAUCCCCACCUGAAUUCCUAUGUCAAAGGGGCUGGGUCUUUGCCCCCAGCUCUCCUGCCAGAGUCAAGAGGAGCAACUUGGAAGAACAUUCAUCACCCAUCCCCUAGUCAUUCCUUCUGUUGAUUACAGCCCUCUAUAUAGAGCAGGAGGUACUGCCUGGAAUCAGAGGUAAACCAAGUCCACAGGGCCUAGGAGUAAGGGCCUUUGGCCUCCUGAAGUUUAUGCUUUUCAGACCUUAAAGGAUGCUGGACCCUGAGAGUUGGACUCCAGAGUAGAAGGCUUAGAAAAUAUAAAUAAAAUAUAAAAUGUAAGCAAAGAUUUCUCUCAAGCUUUUAUAUAACCAAUAGCACUUCCCUCAAGUGACAGGGAACACUGUGCAUUGGUGAAGAUGAUGAUGAAGAACAGAUGGGACCCAGAAAGAGAGCAAGGUGUGCCUAUGGAAACGGUCCUCAACUGCACUCGCCAGAGAAGGAGGUGGCUACCACAGGGCCUAGAAAAGAUAAGGCAGUCCGAUGGGUAUCUACCUGGAGCUCUUGAGCCUCCUCACCCCAGGCUGCCACCCACCUCCGGGUGUGCCCAAGCAGAGCAUUGAUGCAGCUGCCCUCAGCCAUACCCACUGAGGACUGAGGCCCUAGGAUGGGAAGCGUGCCUGGACCAGUGGGGACAGCCAGAUGGACUCCAGUCAAUUUGCUUCUGACAGAUGGGGAGCAGGGCCCAGAAUGCUCCCACCCCACCCCACCACUUCAGACAGGGAGGGGCAUGGUUGCAACUUCUAGGAUUUUUCUGCUACCACACCCAUCAAGAAGUGCCACCUGCUUCAUCAGUACCAGGGCUGACCUGAGAGCCUCCCACAGGUGGGUUUGUGUUGCUGCCCAGUGGCCAAGAGUCUUUAAUAUACCCCACAAUUAUCGGCCUCUUCUAGCAUUCCCCCUGUACCCUCAAAAUGCCCACUCGCUAAGGGCAGGGACAGUGGGAAGAAAGGACCUUCCACUGGAAAACUGCCUCUGUCUCCCCAGUAGACAUCUCUGGAUGCCCAAGUCAACUUCAGCCACUGAGUGAGAAUCGAAGGAAACCCAGACUCUCCCAAGAGGCAGACCCUAUGCUGCAAAUUCUUCAAACACAGCACUGAAUUUUGCAAGGAAUACAUUCCCAGUGGGUACAACUCCGUGGAGCUCCAGCCUCUCCUGGUCUAAAGUAGUUAAUUCUCCAAUCCACAGCCCGAAGGAUGGAUUCCAUUGCCUCCCCGAGCCAUGGAGUCCAAGCCCACACACUGUGGAGGAGACACCAUCUGCCCCAACCCUCAGCCCAGGCCUGGCAGACAACAUCAGCCCUAAUAGGGAGAGCAGCACUGUCCCCACCCCCCUCCCCAGAAGGACACCAGGGCUGGGAGGAGAAUCUUCAGGCACCCAAGACCUCUUCUGCCUCUGUGGCUCUGCCUGCCGGCUGUGGCCUCUUCCUUGCCAGCUCUGCUUAAACUGAUGAACAAGAAUAAAAGCUCUGUGGCCCAAGGAAAGCUUUAGGGAAAAGAACUAAAGCUGAAAGGGGGAAAAAACCCAAAAAACUCUAAGAAAUGGGAGAGGAUGAGAAUUCAAGAAACAGACAAAAUAAAUCAUCCAGGAAUCCAGAUAUAAAACAAGGCAGACCAAAAGAAAAGAAAAAUUAUGCUAAGAAGGCAGAGUGAGGUGGGGAAGGAAGCUGAGAAUGAUAAAGAAUAGGGGGCCAGUUAUAAAUAUUCUGAAAAGAGAGAAGAAUAUGAAGCAAACAACACCCGAAAAAAAAUUUUUCAAAAGACCCAGGAGAGAAAAGGAGGCAGCAGUGAAUUGAAAACAACUGCCCUGAUCCCCAUUCAGAUCCACUCGGUAAUGUUCUGGGUGGCAACAACUGAGUCUUAGGGCUUUUGUGUGGGUUUCAGACUUUUCCUAACAUUGAACAAGGACAGUCCUAGAAAAGCAAGCUUCCCUUCUUGCCUUUGUGUUUCCUACAAUGUUCCCACCUCACUCCCACCGUUAGUCUUUUGCAGAGAAAAGGCUAGUCUUCCUGGGACAAGGCCAAAAACCAGUCCAACUCACCCCAGAGUAGGGUGGCUAACAUCAUGGUGUCCUAUGGCUGGCUCACUGGAGAAUGUGAGCAGGAGCCCUGUGCCAGGAGAAGAAUAUUAGGUAUGAGUAGAGCUGUGUGAUCAGCUUUUCAUCUUCUGGAGAGAGCUCUGGCCCAGCCACCUCUCUGUGGAUAAGGGCUCAUCUAACCCACAGACACAUCAUUCCUGGAAAAACAGAGGUUCACGGCAGAUUGGCAUACCCACCUCUAUGCAAAGCCACAGAAAUCCCAGCAAAUGCAACUUUUGUUAACAGCUUAGAUGAUUUAAAUUAAUUUCCAUGUCUUCUCAAGGGAGCCUAAAGAUAGCCACAACCAUUGUUCUGGUUGGCAAACAGCUUCUUGAAGUUCAGUACCUCAAUGCCUUGUGUCCAUAAACCCCAUGAAAACUUGUGGAAGGUGCUGGUCCCUUGUCAACUUGGCUUCUUUCAGCCUUCUAAUUGUUCUCUGUCUUCUGCGAUUCUGUCAGUGCCUCCCUUCUCUGUGACUGCUUUGGGUUUUCCAGUUUGCUUACUUAAACCUCUACACUCUUCAUUUCCCUAAGGGAGCAGGAGUAGGGAGAAAGCUGAAGCAAACCCAGGCAAAAUUGAGAAGCAAAGAAAGUAGCAAUGUGGGUGUUGGGUUCAGUGCCCAGCUAUGCAGUGCCCAGGCUGUCCUCAGCGGGUGAGGCAGGCUCCCCGUAGACAAGCAGCUCACCAAGCAUGUUCUACUGCACCUCCAAAGUUCAGCCAUGGUCUGAGCUCUGAUCAGCUGGGACAAGGAAAAUGGUACUCACACCAGCCCAUCUCCCUUCAAAAAUUCUUACCUACUUGACCCUGAUACUUCUGUACAUCCCAAAAGUAACAUUUCUUUUCUAUCAAAAACUGAGAGGUGACAAAAAGUGCAGGACGAAUGCCUACGUUGUGGCCUUACACACUCAGCUUCUCGCCAUCCCUCUAACCGUCAACAUGUCACAGUCAUAUAAUCUAUGACUCACACUAUUCUUUAACCAUGAAAAAAGACAAACCAGGAAAUUAUGAGCUGAAAUACGUAAAACGUAGUCCAUUCAGCUGAACUAAUCUCCUAAUAAGUGUGUGUAUAUCGAGAAGUCAUGCUCUAUCUGGUUUGAAAGAUGUGGAAAUUUCAGGAAAAGUGCAAGGUGACAGCAGAUCCCAACUUAUCGAGAUUGGUCCUCAAAAGGAUAAGGGCCUGGUCUUGGGCCGAGCUGCCCAGCAGUUUGUUAAAGGAGUCUUAAGAGCUGGGAACCAAUAUGUUGGCGUGAAGCACACCCACUCGAUGUUCAGGCUGACCAUGUUCAAAGUCUGGCACUGCCUCCACCUAGGCAAGUGGAGAACUCACUCGUCUCCCUCGGUCUCCUCCUUUGUGAAACAGCCAUGACAACAACCCCCAUCUCCUGGGGUUGAUAAGCAAAGCACUUGGCACACUCUUGAUGUGUAUGAGCUCCCCUUCCAAAAUAAAGGAACCCAGUCAACUUUUGUUGUAUAUUAAGCAGCAAUUGGCAAGACCAAGAAGAGCCCCGGAGGCCCCACAAAGUGGGAUUCCAUAGAGCCACUGGACCAUAGUCAAGUAUCCCAAGCAAGAGCGAGGAGAGCAUCCCAGAGGAGGCCCAAGCAGCUGGCGGGUGGAGCGCUGGCGGGAAAAACCAAGGACAGCACUUGCAGCCAGGGCGGCUGUGUGGGUGGGAGGACGCAGGGGGCUGCACUCCAGUCUCCCUGAAUUAGCUCAAGCUGGCUGCAUCCCCACCCUUGCAUGUGUUUAUCCUUCUGUGAAACGGAGCCCACAUUGACCUAGCACCCAGGAUGUUCAGCCAGCAAGAUGCUGGCUGAACAGUGAGUUGCAAGUGGGAGAUUUUAGCAUGAUCAUUGUCUCAGAGACUUAAUAACCGGGUGUUUCUGCCCAGAUUCAGAAAUCUGGCCUUUUAUGAGCUGGAUUGAAAGGAGAUGACCAAACGCUGAGAAAUUCUUAUUUGGGGGCUGAUUUUUUUUUUCUUUCAGUAAGUGGAAAAUCAAAGAGUUUAAAAGUGUUUUGAGACAUCUGAACACCAACUGAAUCUUGGUAAUGUUUAGGGAGUAUUAUUAAUUUUUAGGUGGAAUAAUGAUAAUGUAGCUAAGUUUAACAAGAGUCUAUUCUUUGGAGAUACUGAAUGAACUUUUUUUUUUUUUUUUUUUGAGACAGAGAGUCUUGCUCUGUCCCCCAGGCUGGGGUUCAGUGGUGUGAUCUUGGCUCACUGCAACCUCUGUCCUAAAACAAUUCACCUGUCUCCUGGUAGCUGGGACUACAGGCGCACUCCACCACGGCUAAUUUUCAUAUUUUUAGUAGAGACAAGGUUUCACCAUAUUGGCCAGGCUGGUCUCAAACUCCUGACCUCAAGUGAUCCACCCACCUCAGCCUCCCAAAGUGCUGGGAUUACAGGCAUGAGCCACCACACCUGGCCCAGAAUGAACUACUGACAGAUGAAAUAAUAUGAUGUGAUAUAUAGAAUCGACUUCAGAAUUGUACAGGCAGUAGGGAGGUGGAUGGUGGCACUAAUGAGCAGGUUUGGCCAUGAGUUGGUGAUGUUGAGACUGGGUGGGCACAUGGGGUCCAUCAAUUACUCUGUCUCCUUCUGCAUAUAAAUUUUACGUAAUAAAAUGUUUUAAGUUCAUAAAAACUAAAAAAGUUUUAACUCAAUGAUUCUUGUAUUACUAGCUUUUGCAAUACAAUAUUUACUUCCUAUAGACACGUGUCCUUGGACAGGAAAUGCAGCUAUGGAAAAACCUGUUGGGAGUAGGAGAGGGCUGGAGAGCAGAUGGACACCCCCACCCAAGGGCAACCCUCCCCACACUUCUGUGGGACCAAGAGUGGGGUCCUGCUCCUCUGGGCUUCUUGGGCCGGAAGAGUGCAGGCAGAGGGACUGAUGUCCAUUUUGAUACUGCUUUUAAGUUCAGUAAAAAUUACUUUAAAUUUGCUUUCAAUGUAUUUUUAAAGCACAAUUAACUUUUUUUUUUUUCCUCAGUAGAAAGCCAUCAUAGCAGGGUGGGCAAGCUACUCAACCUUUCUAACCUCACUUUUCACAACGGGAAAAUGGGGACACUUAGACAUACCCCAAUUCCCAGGGUGUGAGGGUGAAUGAGAUCAGUGUGUUGAGUGCCUCACAUGGUAAGAACUGUAACAGGGUAGGUCUGAUAUGUGGUUUGUUGUGGCUGCUAAGCCUCCGAGAGGACCACAGUAGAGCCACCCCAUUGUGAGCACCCUGUUUGAAUCUGAAUGGUUUUCUUAAACAUUUAAGUGAAAUAAAAAUUGAGGCACAUAUCCUCUGAAACCCCUUUGGGCUAAGUACCCUGCUGGGUGUCAACUCCUUCGGGUGUCACAGAAGCCAUGGCUGUGCUCAGCGCCCCCAGCCAGAGGAGCUGCCCAGGCUCUGGGAAGAACAGGGCAGUUGGGAUGGAGCCACCACAGCUCUCUCUAGUUGAAGAAUUAGUUGGAAAAUGAAGAAUAGGGGACUGCCCACUCCUGUCCAUGGCUUUGAAUGUCAAAAUGCACCCCCAGAAAGUAGACCUGCAGACCAAUCCUUCCGAAAGAUGGGGUUCAGGGUGCUUUAGACAGACAGCAGGCAACAUCUCCCAAAAAGGAGCUAGCUGAGUCUCAGAUGAGCGGCCUAUGGAGGCCUCCAGACAACAGGGGCAACACAACAUCCCCUCAUCAGUGCGAAGGCCCUGCCAAAUGGCUGUGCAAAGGUGGCUGGGCAAGAGAUACAGUUCCAAGAAGAAAUCAAGGAGCCAUGGCACGCAGAAGGACUUCCAGGAGAGGCAAGUGGCCUGCACAGCCAGUUCAUGCCCCCAGACUACUGGGUGGAUGGCUUCCUGCAGACACACUUCAGCCAGAAGAGAGUGAUUGUGACUUUGGGUGACAAGACUGGAGGAGACAAGGUGGUCAUCCAGCCCACUGUCAGAGCGGCCACACCAAGUCUUUGGGUUCUUGCUCUAAGUCUUGCCAGCCAGAUGAAGGGAUGGAGGAUUCACAUCCAGCCACGUCUUGACACUGCUGAUUCUGGAGGAGGAAGGAUGGAGCGUGGCACCUCCACCUGCUCCCUGUUCUUGCCUAGGAGGAAACAUGAAAGGAGGCCAGAGAGCCCAAGACAAAGUUCGAAAAUGUUCUCAAAAGGUCCUUGGGCUUUGGGACCUUCAAAUGCAUUCGUGAGACUAUCCUAAGCUUCUGAAAGCUCCCUGGCUCCAGAGAAGAGGGCAGUCUCUGGCUACUAAAUGUUGAGUGCAGAGGCUAAUGGCACGCUAGAGCCAGAAUGCCUGGGUUCAAAUCCCAGCUCUGCUAUGUAUUAGCUCUGUAACACUGGGCAAGGUACUUAACCCGUUUCCUCCUUUGUAAAAUGAGGAUAACUAUGGCCCUACGGGGCAGAGUUGUUGCUUAGAUCAGUAGAAAACCCUCAAUUAAUUUAGCAAGGGGCCCUCCUCUGCCCAAUGGGAUGUGCUACUACUGACCCCAUGGGGUUCUGGAAAAAAUCAACAUGCUACUACCACGUGGGAAGGCAUUUGAAGGAAGUGGAAAGUUUUCACAGAAAGUAGCCCAGAGACAUGCACAGAGUGCUGCUCUCAGCACAGACCAGAACCCAAAGAUUUGUGCCUCUGUCAGAAUGCAGCUUUCUGGAGUCAACCGGGCUACAGAGCUCCAUGGAGUCUGGAAUGGGAAUGGGUUUACUUAGGCUUCCUCUGGAGGGGUGGAGAGGAAGGGUGAUACUUUCAGGCUUUGUGCAGGACAAGCAGGGAGUAUUGCUCAAAUCCAAGCUGGCUGCCCUGUGGGGGACACAGGCCCACGCCGGCAGGCCUGGGGAGAGCCACUGCCUGCUGAGGUGAGGCCGGCACCAGUUGGUGUGAGGAGCCCACCUCUAUCUCAGAGCUGGACUUGGCAUCCCAGGAUGGGGAGGAAAGGGUUAAGCCGGCUCGGUCUCUGGAGGGAAGGAGGGAAAGCACUCACAGCUAUAAACAGAAAGCCCAGGGAGGGAGGGGGCUGACACAGGAUGUGGCCAGGGCUCGAGCUGUCUGAUUAUUAACUUCACUUUUAUUUGGAGGGGGAUUCGAUUCUCUGUUUUACUUCCCAUCAAGGAAGUGAAAGCCCAGGUCUCAGAGGGGCCUGGUUUCAAAUUGUUUUGUCACAGCUCAUUUAUUUUUCCUUUUAAAUAAAUAAACAAAACCACCUCUUUGUUUUCCCCUUAAUGAGCAUUCAGCAAAUCAUCUGUGGGUGAAGCAUGAACGGGGUUUUCUGGAGUCCUUCAUGGGAGAAGUUUGGCUUAUUAUUUUAAAAGGAAAAAGCAAGGAUCUCGCCUUUAGCUCCAGGCUUCUUGAAGGCUGUCAAGGCACUUUCUCUUUUGCCUCCUCUGAGAUAUCCACUUAGACCAGCGAGGAGUCUGAAAUCACAGCCUCAAGCCAGGCCAAGGCCCCAGGAGCUUCCUUGGCUGGACCCUGGGGCCGGACCCACAGCCUGCCAUCCCAUCUGACAUGCCCUGACACCAGGCCACGCAGAGGAAGCACCCAGCACCGGCUCAGUUGUUGUCUUGCUUAGGCGCAGACCCAUGGCUGUGUUCCUACAGCACCCUGACAUGUCUACUAAAACUAACUUAAAGCACUUAAACACACAAAAGGAUUCCAUUACAGGUUUAAGAAAAGACCAUUACAUGUCCCUUUUGCCCAAGGUUCAAAACGUUUGGGAACUUGAUUUCAACAUAAAAUUUGUAUCAAAACCCAUUCAAUCCCAUGAUCUCCUUGCAACAACCUUUUCCUGAAAGACCUGCACGUGGGACCCCAGGGCCAGUAUCACAGGGUCCUGACCCUCAAGGGGUCUCACAAUUCAACAAUUCAGUGAGGGAGGAUGCAGUGACAAAGACUGUAAGGAAAAAACAGGAGAGUUUAUAGCAGUAGCUACUGCUACUCAAGGUGGGCAGAGAAGGGAGAAGGCGGAUUUUGCUGGAAACUAAAAGGAGAAAUCCGGGAAAGCUUCCUGGUGGAGCUGAUCUUUAAGCUGAACCUUUAAGGACUGACACGAUGAACGGAUGUUCUGGAACCCGAGAAAUAACCAAGGGCCAGAAAGACAGCAUCCAUGUAUGAACUGAGCUAGACAGAGGCAACAGUGGGGCCUGGGGCUCCUGAGAAUGGCAUUUCAAGUCCCCAUGGUGGACAGGGACGGGAAUGCUUCGGCCGCCUGGAGCCAGCUCCGUGGUGCCAGUCCCUGACCUCUGGCUUGAUGACUGGUGUGCCUCUUGAGCAAGCAGAUACUACGCCUGGUCUUGGACCCUGUCACUUGCCUGCCCCACAAAAACCUGCUGACCGCUGUGACCUACUUUAACGGCCCCUGACUUUCUGCUCUUCGAAUAUGGGGCAAAAAGGAGGGCGACUGAGGCCACUCAGUACAUUUGAGGCUCAGAGGCUCAGGCCUGCCUUCGCAGCGGCUACUGGAGUGGCGAUUCCCAAAACCCGGGGUUAGCUGCCAGAGUCCAGGGUGCUCCUGGGCUUCUGCGACGCCCCCGCACUCCCGCGGCCGAGCUUCGCGGUCGAGCUCUCCGGUCGCCCCCCCCGGCGUCCGCUCCGCCGCGAGCUAGCACCUAGCCGGGCCGGGCACCGGGCCGGGGCGAGGCCGCCAAGAUGGCCGACGCGCUCUGCAGCGCGCGGAUCACGCGGGAGGACUGCCCUUGGGCUCCGGGAAGCAGCCAAGGUUCCGCCGCCCUCCCUGGCGCUCUGCCCCGGUCGGUCUGCUGGGAUCUCCUUCCCAGCGCCCCCUUCGGCUCCCGGGGCCUCGCGAACCUUCCAGGCCCGAAGCCAUCCAGACGCGCGCACCAGGCCCGACCCGGGAGCGGAAGGCGCGACGCAGCCGGGAGGAGAGACAGGGGCCGGGGCUGCUCGGCGGCUCGAAACGCGAGGGGCCCGAGAACCAAGACUGCUGCAGGAGGCUGCGGCGGGGGCGAGAUCCUCGCUACAGCUUAGGGCCUGGCGUCCCGCAGCCGCUCUCUCCCGGAAGCCCUCGGAAGCGGCGCGAUGGACGUGGCCACACUGCCCUCCAGUGGCCAGCCCGCCGAACAACACUCCUGGGUCCCGUUUGGGGGUCGGGGUGACGUGUCCACGCUCUGCCUUUUGCUACAUUUGACGGUGGGAUUUGCUCAUCCGUUGUUCCUCUUACAGGCCGCCAAAGCUGCCCUCCGCCACAGUGCACACUGACCCAACAGCAGGUUUGCCGCCUUCGGUGGUUCUCAAACUUCAGUGUGCACAGGAAUCCCCUCCCCCACCCCGCCCCUGUCCUCCCCUUGACAGUUCUUUCAGACCCGGAUUGCUGGGUUCCCCAAAUAAGUCAGAGAACUUGCAUUUCUAGCAAGUCCUCAGGUGAUGCUGAGCUGCUGGCCCGCUGGAGCCACAUUUCGGGAACCACUGGCUCGGCUCACUCUUUCUGUCCUGGGGUUUCUGUCACCCCUCAUUCAAUGCAGAACAUGACCUGCAAGGCACUGAGGAUGAGUGGGUGGAACAACUUUCCCGCCCUGGUGGAGCUUAGUCUAACUAAGCUUGUUUCAACAAAUCACCUGUAAAGAAAUACAGGAUUCCAUUUGAAAAGGCUUUCAAAUUCCUGUGAAGGAAAAGGAUAAGGUGCUCAGAGAACAUAUAUAAAUGGGCACUAAUUUCGAUUUGGAGUGGGAAAGUUCUCAGGGAAGACUUCUCUGAGGAAACCCUCAAGCUCAGGCCAGGAGGAGGAGGGAUGAGGUCCUGAGGGGAAUGGGGAGGGACUGGAGCUGGCAGGCCCAGCAGGUAAGGUGCAGACCCUGGCUGUAGAAGCAGAGACUGGCAGGGGCAGGCAGGGGGUCAGAGCCUCUUAGGUCCAUGCCUCUGGUCCCCACAGAGCUGCCUCCACAGAAGGGCAGCAUCCAGGGGAGAAGAGGGCCUGGCUGCUCAGACUGUAGCUGCCCACUCAGCACCAAGAAGGGUGCUCCACCUUCAGGAACCCCACAGGAACCCCAGCCAGGUACCCACAGCCCACAAACUUCUCUUUGCCUGAACAGAUUUACAUAGGUCCCUUCUGUAAGGCCUGAAGGACAGUCCCAUUUGAUGGAACCAGAUCUGCUGAUAAUGAUGAGUGCACAUGAUGUUACCAUGUACCCAUCAAUGCCCUCGGUGUGCCAUCUCCUCCCUCCUGCAGGUCCAGGAUCCAGUGAGCAUUUGUAAGCACCCACUAUGUGCUCUGCACCAGGAUCACUGCAGUGCUGUGUGAGACAUGGCACAAAGGGGCCAGCCGGCCCUCGGAGGCUCCAAGCACCCUGGCGGGCAGGAUCUCCCUCUGUGGCCCAAGCUGGUCUCAAACUCCCAGCCUCAAGCACUCCUUCCACUUCCGCCUCCCAGAGUGCUGGGAUCACAGGCAUGAGCCCCACGCCCAGCCUCAGAUAUAGAUAUAUCCAUAUAAACGAUGGUCCAUCCAUGUGAUGGAAAACCCGGCAUACCACUGAAAACAAUGAGAGAGAUCCAUACCCACUUAUGCAGAGCCAUCUUCAAGAAGCAAUGUUGAAGCAACAUGGUGAGAAAGCACCAUGGUGAGUGUCUGGACCGUGGUGAUGGUUGUACAACUCUAUAAAUUUACCUUAAAAAUCACUGAGCUAAACUGGGCACAGUGGCUCACGCCUGUAAUCCCAGCACUUUGGUAGGCCGAGGCAGGCAUAUUGCUUAAGCUCAAGAGUUUGAGACCAGCCUGGGAAACAUGGUGAAACUCAUCUCUACAAAAAAUAUAAAAAUUGGCCAGGCAUGGUGGCGCAUGGCUGUAGUCCCAGCUACUAGGGAGGCUGAGGUGAGAGGAUUGCUUGAACUUGGGAGGUUGAGGCUGCAGUGAGCUGAGGUCAUGCCACUACAUUUGAGCCUGGGCAACAGAGUGAGACCUCCUCUGUGACCAUCUCACACACACAUAAAGAGAAAAACAAAAGUCACUGAACUGUACUCUUUAAAUGAGGGAAUUGUAUCGUAUGUGAA